rfam:Erinaceus europaeus unplaced genomic scaffold scaffold00321, whole genome shotgun sequence
GGGGAGAUGCUUGGAAUGUAGAUGUUUGAGACAAAUGUGCAUAAAUAAAUGAAUUGUUGAUAACUUAGUCAUUGAACUGGAUACUUGGUGGCUUGUUAAAGAAACUCCA